rnacentral:sRNA from 1 species
UGUGCUAGGCAGAACAAAAUGUAAAAUCCUUUGCAUUCUGGAUCAGCUUGGGAUUUUAGAAAAUCCAAUACAAUAAUAUUUGUUACCCUUACAACAACUUCUUCUCAUGGCAGGGAAAUUCUUUCUCUCUCUACCUACCAUAAAUGAUGCUUUUUAAUUUCUCUUAGAGCUAGGAAAUCUCAUGAUUUUAGGGUGACAGAAAUAUCUAAAUUAAUCUCUUUUAUUUGGUGGGUUUUUCUUUUUUUUUCUUUUUCUUUUUUCUUUUUUUUGUUUUUACUGUAGAAAAUCCAGCAUAACUGACUGACAAAAUGUUUUAAAGCCAAACAAGUCCAUUUUGUGUUUUAGAUUUCAGCCUUCCAAGUUCUGAUGUAACAAACAACUUAAAACCCAGUCUUCAUCCACAGAUGAACUUGCUAGCCUUGGAGAAUACAGAGAUACCCCCGUUUGCCCAAAGGACCAGCCAAAACCUCACCUCAAGCCACGCAUAUGAUAAUGUAAGUAACAAAACUCUUUUCUAGCAGUGCAUCUAGUCAGC